ACUUCGUUCCACGUUAAAUUACAAUGAUAGCAAAUUGUGGUGCUACCAAUAUUAUAAACGCUAUACAAGUGGACCGUUCUGAAGCAAAGUUUACGUCACGUAUGUAAGAAUACAGAACGCAGCGAUAACAAGAUGAAUGCUCUAUUAACAUAUAUCGUGAAAAGUUUUUUAAACUCCAUUAUUCAUACUUACGAUAAUGAAGAAGUGGAUAUUGUGAUGAGCACUGUUUUACUUCCAAAAGUCCAUAUUCCGAAAAUUGGAGGUUAUGUGGAACAUAUAAUUCCAUCACUUAGCAAUGAAUGUUUUAAACAGCAUUUUCGGAUGCUACCUUCAACUUUCGAAUAUGUUUUAAAUCAAAUUGGAAAUGAACUUUGUCGUAAAGCAGAUGGUAACAAGAUGAUAUCUCCGGACAAAGAACUUCUGUUAAGUUUUGGCGAUUUGAAACUCCAGAUUCAUAUAGAUCAAUAAUUGAAAGAUUUGGUGUUGGCAAAGCCACAGGUGUAAGAGCAGUACGUCGUGUUGCUAAGGCAAUAUGUGAAUUAUCACCGAGAUAUAUUACAUGGCCCACAGGGAAUAAAAUACAAGAAAUUACAUAUAAUUUCUCUUAUCAGAGUGCUUUCCUAAUAUUAUUGGUGCCAUAGAUGGCUCUCACAUAAAUAUUCCUGCACCUACAGAAAAUUCAGAAGCCUAUGUAAAUCGUAAAGGACGUCAUUCAAUUCAUCUCCAAGCUGUUUGUGAUCACGCAAGAUUACUCACACACAUCUAUGUUGGAAACGUAGGUUCGGUUCACGAUGCUCGUGUGUUCCGUCUAUCAUCCGUCCAGGAAUAUAUCAAUGAUGUUAAUAAGUUUCCAAAUGACACACAUAUAAUUGGAGAUUCGGCUUACGCAUUACAUCAACAUCUUUUGGUCCCCUAUGAAUGUCGAUAACGGUCAUCUUACUCAACAACAAAAAAAUUAUAAUUUUUGUCAUUCUUAUGCAAGAAUGGUUAUAGAAAGAGCGUUUGGUCUUUUAAAAAGACGCUGGAGAAGUCUUUUACAUGUUUUAGCAGUAAACGACAUAGAUUUUGUUCCUUAUCAUAUAUUAGCAUGCUGUGUAUUGCACAAUUUGUGUUUAUUGCAGAGGGAUGAACUAGAAUUAGAAGAGAUUUUUCUUCCAGAUAGAGAAGAAGUUAUAUUGCGAGAAGAAAUGCUUAUUGAUAAUAAUAGAUAUAUUGCAGAACUAAAAAGAAAUAAUAUAUGUGCAAAUCUUCGUAUGAGAAAUGGAUAAAAAAUAUCUGUUUCUCAUACAAAGAAGAAAUAUAAAAAUGCUAAUAUUUUGUUAAUGUAUAUAGAAAUAUGUUUUACCAUUUUACAAAUGUAUCAAUUUAUACUAAAAAUACACAAAUAAAUAAAUAUACUAUAUAUUAUAUGUACGAACAAUUUUAUUUUGAUAACAAAUAUUAAAUAUAUAUUAUUGUCUACAUUCACAGUCUUUUUAUAGGAAGGAUAUUAUUAAGUCUACAUUAUACAGUCUUUAUAAGAAGCAACGAAUAUUAUAUAUAGAAUAUAAGAAUAUUAAUUUAUAUUAUUUUUAAAAAAACAAAAACUUCAAUAUUAUUUAUAAAAGUUUUUAUAAAAGUUUUCAUCUUUGGUAGUGUAUAACAAAUGAAACUUAAGAAUACAUUUUGAAACUAAUAAAAAAAAAUCUUUGAUGAUAUUAAAAUAAUAAAAAAAUAAAACAAAAUGUAUGUAACAUCACAGAACUCUUAAAUCAUAAUUAAUUAAUCCAUAUUAUUAUUUCUCAACCAUUUUUCGUAAAAUAUCCAAUAGUUCAUCUUGACGUGACAUUGCGUCUUUAUGCAUUCUUUUAUGCUCAGUAAUACUUUCUUCAAGUAACUUCUCUAACAUGGUAUUGUUUUUGCCUAUAACCAUAAUAUAUCCAUUAUUUUUCCGUUAUUUACCGCUACCCAAGUAAAACAAAAAAUCAAGAUGACACCAAAAUUAGAUUAAAAUGAUAAUCAUUUUGACAUCAUUUUGGUGUCAUCUUGACUUUUUGUUUUUGUAAACAAUAUUAAAUUUUAAGUACUUAAACUUUAUAAGGAACGUAUAACGUGGACUAUAAAGUUUUAAUAUUAGCAGUAACUAACAAAAUCCAUUCAUCGUGUAUUAAUACCGCUUCUAAUCUCAAAGCUAUUACAGACUAUAAUAUAUAUAUAUCUAUUAUGUUUAUAAAUAUAUUACAAUAUAAUUUAAUAUAUAAAUUAAUGUAAUUAACGGAGACGUACGCAUACAUAUACAUUUAUUCUAAUAACACACAUAAAAUAUAUAUAAGUAGAAAAAAUUAAUAAUACUUACGCUUAGAAGGCAGUUUACUUUUGCAAGCCUUGUUUUUUGUAUCGUUAUUGUCAUUAGAAGUUAAAAUUGGAUGAUUGCUCUCUAAUGUACGAAUUGGAGUUAUCCAUGGUUUUUUACUACACUGUUCGUCCAUAAUCUAUAAUAUUGAAAAAUAUUAAUUUUCAUAUAAAAAUAAUAAUUGUAUACAAUAAAAAAAAA
rnacentral:misc_RNA from 1 species